AGGACGAACGCUGGCGGCGUGCUUAACACAUGCAAGUCGAACGGUGACCUCGAGAGCUUGCUCUUGGGUGAGCAGUGGCGAACGGGUGAGUAACACGUGAGUAACCUGCCCCAGACUCUGGAAUAAGCGCUGGAAACGGCGUCUAAUACCGGAUAUGACACUAAACCGCAUGGUUAUGGUGUGGAAAGUUUUUCGGCUGGGAUGGACUCGCGGCCUAUCAGCUUGUUGGUGAGGUAAUGGCUCACCAAGGCGAUGACGGGUAGCCGGCCUGAGGAGGGCGAGUCGGACCGACGACUGGGACUGAGACACGGCCCAGACUCCGUACGGGAGGCAGCAGUGGGAAUAUUGCACAAGUGGGACGAAAGCCUAGAUGCAGCGACGCCGCGUGGAGGAUGACGGUCCGUUCGGUUCGUAAACCGUCGUUCCGAGCGAGGAAGAGACGAAGU
rnacentral:rRNA from 1 species